GACGAACGCUGUUGGCGUGCUUAACACAUGCAAGUCGAACGGAAAGGCCCUGCUUUUGUGGGGUGCUCGAGUGGCGAACGGGUGAGUAACACGUGAGUAACCUGCCCUUGACUUUGGGAUAACUUCAGGAAACUGGGGCUAAUACCGGAUAGGAGCUCCUGCUGCAUGGUGGGGGUUGGAAAGUUUCGGCGGUUGGGGAUGGACUCGCGGCUUAUCAGCUUGUUGGUGGGGUAGUGGCUUACCAAGGCUUUGACGGGUAGCCGGCCUGAGAGGGUGACCGGCCACAUUGGGACUGAGAUACGGCCCAGACUCCUACGGGAGGCAGCAGUGGGGAAUAUUGCACAAUGGGCGGAAGCCUGAUGCGGCAACGCCGCGUGCGGGAUGACGGCCUUCGGGUUGUAAACCGCUUUCGCCUGUGACGAAGCGUGAGUGACGGUAAUGGGUAAAGAAGCACCGGCUAACUACGUGCCAGCAGCCGCGGUGAUACGUAGGGUGCGAGCGUUGUCCGGAUUUAUUGGGCGUAAAGGGCUCGUAGGUGGUUGAUCGCGUCGGAAGUGUAGUCUUGGGGCUUAACCCUGAGCGUGCUUUCGAUACGGGUUGACUUGAGGAAGGUAGGGGAGAAUGGAAUUCCUGGUGGAGCGGUGGAAUGCGCAGAUAUCAGGAGGAACACCAGUGGCGAAGGCGGUUCUCUGGGCCUUUCCUGACGCUGAGGAGCGAAAGCGUGGGGAGCGAACAGGCUUAGAUACCCUGGUAGUCCACGCUGUAAACGGUGGGUACUAGGUGUGGGGUCCAUUCCACGGGUUCCGUGCCGUAGCUAACGCUUUAAGUACCCCGCCUGGGGAGUACGGCCGCAAGGCUAAAACUCAAAGGAAUUGACGGGGCCCCGCACAAGCGGCGGAGCAUGCGGAUUAAUUCGAUGCAACGCGUAGAACCUUACCUGGGUUUGACAUGGAUCGGGAGUGCUCAGAGAUGGGUGUGCCUCUUUUGGGGUCGGUUCACAGGUGGUGCAUGCCUGUCGUCAGCUCGUGUCGUGAGAUGUUGGGUUAAGUCCCGCAACGAGCGCAACCCUUGUUCACUGUUGCCAGCACGUUAUGGUGGGGACUCAGUGGAGACCGCCGGGGUCAACUCGGAGGAAGGUGGGGAUGACGUCAAGUCAUCAUGCCCCUUAUGUCCAGGGCUUCACGCAUGCUACAAUGGCUGGUACAGAGAGUGGCGAGCCUGUGAGGGUGAGCGAAUCUCGGAAAGCCGGUCUCAGUUCGGAUUGGGGUCUGCAACUCGACCUCAUGAAGUCGGAGUCGCUAGUAAUCGCAGAUCAGCAACGCUGCGGUGAAUACGUUCCCGGG
rnacentral:rRNA from 1 species